UCAUUGCCCCAAAAGAAAAGAAAAAAACAAAAAUCAAUACAGAGAAGAUUAGCAUGGUCUCUAUACAACGAUGACAUGCAAAUUUGUGAAGCCUUCCCUAUUAAA